rnacentral:rRNA from 1 species
UAUUAAGGGAAAAUAAUGACAUUACCUUACCUAUAGUGUUGUCCAAUGCUGGUGCCAGAAGACUCGGUAACGCCAGUAACGCGAACGUUAGUCAUCAUUAUCAGGCGUAAAGGGUUUGUAGGCAGCUUUUUAAAAAAAGAAUCUUAAAUCUUAAUUUUUUUUAAAAAAGAUUAAUUUUCUAAUUUGAGAGCUAGAAUCAAGCAGAAGUUAAAAAGUAUAAUACUUAGAGAAGGGUUUAUAUCCGUAGAACCUAAGGGGAAUACUAAAGGUGUAAACAACUAACUAUAAAUGAUUGACGCUGAGACACGAAGGUGAGGAUAGGAAAUAGGAUUAGAUACCCCGGUACCCCUCUCUGUAAACGAUGAAUGGUAGUUAUUAGUAUAUUACUGGUGACGAUGUUAACGCGUUAACCAUUCCGCCUUGGGAGUACGACUGCAAAGUUGAAAACAAAAAAAUUAGUCGGUCUCGAAGCAAACGGAGUGAAG